rnacentral:rRNA from 1 species
AUCUUUUUAUUUUUAAAAGACCUUUUUCGGAAGGUAUGCUUAAAGAGGGGCUUGCGUCACAUUAGUUAGUUGGCAGGGUAAAGGCCUACCAAGACUAUGAUGUGUAGCUGGACUGAGAGGUUGAACAGCCACAUUGGGACUGAGACACGGCCCAAACUCCUACGGGAGGCAGCAGUAGGGAAUUUUCGGCAAUGGAGGAAACUCUGACCGAGCAACGCCGCGUGAACGAUGAAGUAUUUCGGUAUGUAAAGUUCUUUUAUUGAAGAAGAAAAAAUAGUGGAAAAACUAUCUUGACGAUAUUCAAUGAAUAAGCCCCGGCAAACUAUGUGCCAGCAGCCGCGGUAAUACAUAGGGGGCGAGCGUUAUCCGGAAUUAUUGGGCGUAAAGGGUGCGUAGGCGGUUUAAUAAGUCUAUAGUUUAAUUUCAGUGCUUAACACUGUCCUGCUAUAGAAACUAUUAGACUAGAGUGAGAUAGAGGCAAGUGGAAUUCCAUGUGUAGCGGUAAAAUGCGUAAAUAUAUGGAGGAACACCAGAGGCGUAGGCGGCUUGCUGGGUCUUUACUGACGCUGAGGCACGAAAGCGUGGGGAGCAAACAGGAUUAGAUACCCUGGUAGUCCACGCCGUAAACGAUGAGUACUAAGUGUCGGGAUUACUCGGUACUGAAGUUAACACAUUAAGUACUCCGCCUGAGUAGUACGUACGCAAGUAUGAAACUUAAAGGAAUUGACGGGACUCCGCACAAGCGGUGGAUCAUGUUGUUUAAUUCGAAGAUACACGAAAAACCUUACCAGGUCUUGACAUACUCUGCAAAGCUAUAGCAAUAUAGUGGAGGUUAUCAGGGAUACAGGUGGUGCAUGGUUGUCGUCAGCUCGUGUCGUGAGAUGUUAGGUUAAGUCCUAAAACGAGCGCAACCCUUGUCAUUAGUUGCCAGCAUGUUAUGAUGGGCACUUUAAUGAGACUGCCAAUGAAAAAUUGGAGGAAGGUGAGGAUCACGUCAAAUCAUCAUGCCCCUUAUGAUCUGGGCUACAAACGUGAUACAAUGGCUGUUACAAAGAGUAGCUGAAACGUAAGUUUAUAGCCAAUCUCAUAAAAGCAGUCUCAGUUCGGAUUGAAGUCUGCAACUCGACUUCAUGAAGUUGGAAUCGCUAGUAAUCGCGAAUCAGCAUGUCGCGGUGAAUACGUUCUCGGGGUUUGUACACACCGCCCGUCAAACCACGAAAGUUGGUAAUACUCAAAAACGGUAGCCUAACUUCUUCGGAAGAGGGAACCGUCUAAGGUAGGAUCGAU